GCUCUCGUAGUUUAAUGGAUAAAAUUUCGGUUUGCGGUACCGGAGCUCCAGGUUCGACUCCUGGCGAGAGCA
rnacentral:tRNA from 1 species